rnacentral:rRNA from 1 species
ACGAGGUGCUGCAUGGUUGUCGUCAGCUCGUGCCGUGAGGUGUCGGGUUAAGUCCCAUAACGAGCGCAACCCUACCUUUAGUUGCCAUCAGGUAAUGCUGGGGACUCUAAAGGAACUGCCUACGCAAGUAGUGAGGAAGCGGGGAUGACGUCAAAUCAGCACGGCCCUUACGUCCAGGGCUACACACGUGCUACAAUGGCCGAUACAGAGGGCAGCUACCUGGUGACAGGAUGCAAAUCUCCAAAGUCGGUCUCAGUUCGGAUCGGAGUCUGCAACCCGACUCCGUGAAGUUGGAUUCGCUAGUAAUCGCGCAUCAGCCAUGGCGCGGUGAAUACGUUCCCGGGCCUU